rnacentral:lncRNA from 1 species
GCCGAGCUGAAUGGAAAUACUAAAAAAACUAUGAAGCAUAAUUAAGAAAUGCCCAUUUCCUAUCCUGUACUUAGAAUAACCGUCUUUAUCUAAGUAUUAGUUAUUCAUUCUUUAAAUAAUUAGGAUUGAUCCCAUACCUAAAAUUUCUUUUUCCCGUUCUUAUAAUUACUACUUUUGUCCAAGAUAAUUGAAUUUGGAAUUUACCUUUUUAAUGCCAAC